rnacentral:pre_miRNA from 1 species
GUUUGCAGAUGUAGCAUCAUCAAGAUUCACAUAAAAAACGCAUGGUGAUGAGCUGAUGAAAUGACAUUAAUGGCCAAGGCAGCUUUCUGAAGGUGAGAAUCUUGAUGAUGCUGCAUCAGCAAUAAACGACUACCUGAUUUAUCAUUAUGCCAUUGGAACGAUACACAGAUAAUUAGCAUAAUUCAUGUGCAAGAAUGCCACGGGUACAUGGUAUGGUUCAAUUGAUACAGUCGUUGUUUGCGGGUGUAGCAUCAUCAAGAUUCACAUGAAAAGGCAAGGUGAAAUGAAAUUAAUUAAGAGCCAUGGCUUUUUGAAGGUGAGAAUCUUGAUGAUGCUGCAUCAGCAAUAA